rnacentral:rRNA from 1 species
UACGUAGGUGGCAAGCGUUUGUCCGGAUUUAUUGGGUUUAAAGGGUGCGUAGGCGGCCCUGUAAGUCAGUGCUGAAAUAUCCCGGCUUAACCGGGAGGGUGGCAUUGAUACUGCGGGGCUAGAGUACAGAUGAGGUAGGCGGAAUUGACGGUGUAGCGGUGAAAUGCUUAGAUAUCGUCAAGAACACCUAUAGCGAAGGCAGCUUACUAGGCUGUAACUGACGCUGAGGCACGAAAGUGUGGGGAGUCAAACAGG